CUUGAUUUCAGACCACUUUGGAGAUAUUAACAAACUUACCAAGUGACCUGUGAUGAAAUCUAUUGUAGAAUAAAUGGAACCUGGAUCCAUUUCAUUCUAUUAACAUGGUUGAUGUGUGUUAUAGCAGUAAUGGGGUUAAACUGAUAUUAAAAUGACAACUCCAUAGGUGGUACCAGGUCAGGGGAGUUCAUCUCUGCUCCCAGCAUCCCUGGGACAGUACUGAUCAACAUAGCUGACCUGAUGCAGAGGUGGACCAGUGAUGUUUUCCUCUCAGUGGUCCAUAGGGUUUUACUGCCCCCUGCUGGAGACUGGAGCACACUGCAGUCCCUGGCUUUCUUUGUGCAGCUGAAGGAUGAGGUCCUCAUCACCUGUUGUGAUGGGUCCAACAAAUAUCCCCAGGUGAAGGCAGGGUCCUAUCUCAUCCAAUACAUCAAUGACUUUUAUAGGAGGGAGGGAGAUUUACUUUAAUACAAUAAUUCCUUGAAUGUAAUUAGUUUGUGUAUUGUAAUUAUGUUAUUGAAACAGAAUAAGUCAGUAAUGAGAGAAUAAAAAAGUCCAGUCCAA